AAACCGGGCACUACAGUGAGACGAGACAAGACCCGAGCCCACUCCGAUCUCGAGAUGUCAAACCGUCUUGCGCCAUAUGUACUGAGAUUAUUCGGGAGACGUGGUGAAAGCCC
rnacentral:rRNA from 1 species